GCUUAUUCAUUAUUUCUAAUACAUCUUAGGAACUUGGGAGCAUUUUAGUUGUUUUCUAGAUCCAGCUGCUGAGAUCAGGCUGCACCAUGCAUCAGUUGUAAAGAUCCUGGAGGAAAGAAGACUCCCUUCCUGCAGACCUGCAGCUGAAGUGUUCUCUAAGUAGAAACCAACCACUUAGAAUUAAGUCAACAUAAAGGAGAGAAAUACCUGGAGAGGAAGGAGUCAGCUGUGAAGACACCAUUUGAGCAUCUUGAUCCAGUUAUGUCUGAAGACUCUAUCGCCAAACUUUUUAUUAACAUAAGAGAAUAAAUAGUACUUUCUUGUUUCAAAAAAAAAAAAAAAA